rnacentral:rRNA from 1 species
ACAGUCACACAUUAGAUACCCCCGUAGUCCCAGCCCUAAACGAUGCGCGUUAGGUGUAUCGGUGACCACGAGUCACCGAGGUGCCGAAGGGAAACCGUGUAACGUGCCGCCUGGGAAGUACGGUCGCAAGGCUGAAACUUAAAGGAAUUGGCGGGGAGCACCACAACGGGUGGAGCCUGCGGUUUAAUUGGACUCAACGCCGGGAAGCUCACCGGAUAAGACAGCGGAAUGAUUGCCGGGCUGAAGACCCUGCAUGACCAGCUG